rnacentral:rRNA from 1 species
GCAUAUCAAUAAGCGGAGGAAAAGAAACCAACAGGGAUUGCCUCAGUAACGGCGAGUGAAGCGGCAACAGCUCAAAUUUGAAAGCUGGCCCCCCCGGGGGUCCGCGUUGUAAUUUGUAGAGGAUGAUUCGGCGAGGGCUCCCGCCUAAGUCCCCUGGAACGGGGCGUCAUAGAGGGUGAGAAUCCCGUAUGCGGUGGGCUGCCUUAGCCAUGUGAAUCUCCUUCGACGAGUCGAGUUGUUUGGGAAUGCAGCUCUAAAUGGGAGGUAAAUUUCUUCUAAAGCUAAAUACCGGCCAGAGACCGAUAGCGCACAAGUAGAGUGAUCGAAAGAUGAAAAGCACUUUGGAAAGAGAGUUAAAAAGUACGUGAAAUUGUUGAAAGGGAAGCGCUUGCAGCCAGACUUGCCCGCAGUUGCUCAGCCGGUCUCCUGACCGGCGCACUCUUCUGCGGCCAGGCCAGCAUCAGUUCGGGCGGUCGGAUAAAGGCCCCGGGAACGUAGCUCCUCUCGGGGAGUGUUAUAGCCCGGGGUGGAAUGCGGCCAGCCUGGACUGAGGAUCUCGCUUCGGCUAGGAUGCUGGCGUAAUGGCUGUAAGCGGCCCGUCUUGAAACACGGACCAAGGAGUCUAACAUCUAUGCGAGUGUUUGGGUGUCAAACCCAUGCGCGUAAUGAAAGUGAACGGAGGUGGGAACCCUCGCGGGUGCACCAUCGACCGAUCCUGAUGUCUUCGGAUGGAUUUGAGUAAGAGCAUAGCUGUUGGGACCCGAAAGAUGGUGAACUAUGCCUGAAUAGGGUGAAGCCAGAGGAAACUCUGGUGGAGGCUCGCAGCGGUUCUGACGUGCAAAUCGAUCGUCAAAUUUGGGUAUAGGGGCGAAAGACUAAUCGA